UACAGACUGUAGGAAGGCCAAAGAGCCUUUGCCUAACGUAAAGCAACGACAAACCUAACAAACUACUCCGUCUGGACAGAGGUAAACUAGGAAGUGAUGGGAC